GUUCAAGUGGAGCUCUCCUAACCGACGCGCGUCUGUGGAGAAGCGGCUUGGUCGGGGGUGGUCUCGUGGGGUCCUGCCUGUUUAGUCGCUUUCAGGGUUCUUGAGCCCCUUCACGACCGUCACCAUGGAAGUGUCACCAUUGCACCUGUAAAUGAAAAUAUGCAAGUCAACAAAAUAAAGAAAAAUGAAGAUGCUAAGAAAAGACUGUCUGUUGAAAGAAUCU
rnacentral:lncRNA from 1 species